rnacentral:lncRNA from 1 species
AUCAAACCACUUUUUUUUUACCUUAUCGAAUACUCAUUAAGAAGGAGAGUACUUCCGGUUCAAGGCUUUGACUUCAUACUCGCUUACACCCACACCCUUAGACCCCUAAAAAAACACUUAUUUUUUUAUCGUUAGAGGGAACAUAAUGUUGAUCUUGAUCUAGUCGACUCUGUUGAUUCAAUAGAUCCGGUCAGUUGAACGGGCGGAGCUAGCAGCACCAAAAGCUAC